rnacentral:lncRNA from 13 species
GGACGAGAAGGGCCCUCUCCCCUGAGAACCUCGCUUUCUCCCAUGCUUCUUUGUCUGUUCUGUCUUCACAGGUUUGGAGGCUCUCGCUAUCUGCAGUUGGAAAGUGGAGAGGAUGUGGCUUCAGGUGAUGCUAACCCCAAAUCCUUGGGCUCUCUCACACGUGCCUGCAUUAUGCACCGUAUGCUGGAUUUCAGUUCCACCUGUGUGCCAGCCACGUAAGACGUGCCUGUUUCCCCUUCUGCCAUGAUUGAAAGUUUCCCGAGGCCUCCCCAGCCAUUCUUCCUGCACAGCCUGCAGAAAUGUGAGUCAAUUAAGCCUCUUUUAUUUAUAAAUAACCCAGUCUCAGGUAUUUCUUUAUAGCAGUGUGAGAACUGAUUAAUACAGAAAAUAACACAUCUAUCAAGUAAGACAUAUACUCUAAAACUGUAGUAAUAUAGGCAGGGUGGUAUUGGCAU